rnacentral:rRNA from 1 species
UACGUAGGGUGCAAGCGUUGUCCGGAAUUAUUGGGCGUAAAGAGCUCGUAGGCGGUUCGUCGCGUCGGCUGUGAAAUCCCGAGGCUCAACCUCGGGUCUGCAGUCGAUACGGGCGGACUGGAGUUCGGCAGGGGAGACUGGAAUUCCUGGUGUAGCGGUGAAUGCGCAGAUAUCAGGAGGAACACCGGUGGCGAAGGCGGGUCUCUGGGCCGAUACUGACGCUGAGGAGCGAAAGCGUGGGGAGCGAACAGG